GUUUAUGAUGAUGAUGAGAAUGCUGCUGCUGCUGAUGGACCAAAGGAAUUUACUAUCAGAGGGUCAUCCCUGGUGGAUUAUUCUGACACUGAUGAAACCGAUGAGGAUUGUUUAAAUGACCAGCCAUUGGGUCCACACUGUGAUGAAGUUGUUCCAAAGUUGAGAAGGACAAAAAGCAUUCUGAUGAAAAAAGUUCCAGAUUUUUCUGAUGAUCUCUACGAUUCAAG